AGUCAAGUAAUUAAGUGCAUGUGGUGGAUGCCUUGGCAGUCAGAGGCGAUGAAAGACGUGAUAGCCUGCGAAAAGCUCCGGGGAGGCGGCAAAUAUCCUUUGAUCCGGAGAUGUCUGAAUGGGGGAACCCACCUACUUUAAGGUAGGUAUUGCAACAUGAAUACAUAGUGUUGCAAGGCGAACGAGGGGAAGUGAAACAUCUCAGUACCCUUAGGAAAAGAAAUCAAUUGAGAUUCCCUCAGUAGCGGCGAGCGAACGGGGAUCAGCCCAUUAAGUUAUGUGUGUUUUAGUGGAACGCUCUGGGAAGUGCGAACGUAGAGGGUGAUAUUCCCGUACACGAAAGGGCACACAUAAUGAUGACGAGUAGGGCGAGGCACGUGAAACCUUGUCUGAAUAUGGGGGGACCAUCCUCCAAGGCUAAAUACUCCUGACUGACCGAUAGUGAACCAGUACCGUGAGGGAAAGGCGAAAAGAACCCCUGUGAGGGGAGUGAAAUAGAUCCUGAAACCGCAUGCAUACAAGCAGUGGGAGCACCUUCGUGGUGUGACUGCGUACCUUUUGUAUAAUGGGUCAGCGACUUAUAUUCAGUAGCGAGGUUAACCGUAUAGGGGAGCCGUAGAGAAAUCGAGUCUUAAUAGGGCGUUUAGUUGCUGGGUAUAGACCCGAAACCAGGCGAUCUAUCCAUGAGCAGGUUGAAGGUUGGGUAACACUAACUGGAGGACCGAACCCACUGUCGUUGAAAAGCCAGGGGAUGACUUGUGGAUAGGGGUGAAAGGCUAAUCAAGCCUGGUGAUAGCUGGUUCUCCCCGAAAGCUAUUUAGGUAGCGCCUCGGACGAAUACCAUAGGGGGUAGAGCACUGUUUCGGCUAGGGGGGUCAUCCCGACUUACCAAACCGAUGCAAACUCCGAAUACCUAUGAGUACUAUCCGGGAGACAGACUGCGGGUGCUAACGUCCGUAGUCAAGAGGAAAACAAUCCAGACCGCCAGCUAAGGCCCCAAAAUCAUAGUUAAGUGGGAAACGAUGUGGGAAGGCAUAGACAGCUAGGAGGUUGGCUUAGAAGCAGCCACCCUUUAAAGAAAGCGUAAUAGCUCACUAGUCGAGUCGGCCUGCGCGGAAGAUGUAACGGGGCUAAAACUAUGUGCCGAAGCUGCGGAUGUAUACUUUGUAUACGUGGUAGGGGAGCGUUCUGUAAGCCGAUGAAGGUGUGUUGAGAAGCAUGCUGGAGGUAUCAGAAGUGCGAAUGCUGACGUGAGUAACGACAAAACGGGUGAAAAACCCGUUCGCCGAAAGACCAAGGGUUCCAGUCCAACGUUAAUCGGGGCUGGGUGAGUCGACCCCUAAGGCGAGGCCGAAAGGCGUAGUCGAUGGGAAAAUGGUUAAUAUUCCAUUACUUCUGUGUAAUGCGAUGAGAGGACGGAGAAGGCUAAAUCAGCCUGGCGUUGGUUGUCCAGGUGAAAGGAUGUAGGCAUGUAUCUUAGGCAAAUCCGGGGUACUCUAUGCUGAGAUCUGAUAGCAAGCUGUACUUGUACAGCGAAGUGGUUGAUGCCAUGCUUCCAGGAAAAGUCUCUAAGCUUCAGUUACACAGGAAUCGUACCCGAAACCGACACAGGUGGUCAGGUCGAGUAGACCAAGGCGCUUGAGAGAACUCUGCUGAAGGAACUAGGCAAAAUGGUACCGUAACUUCGGGAGAAGGUACGCUGUUGUUGGUGAUGGAACUCGCUUCCUGAGCUGACGACAGCCGCAGAAACCAGGCCGCUGCAACUGUUUAUUAAAAACAUAGCACUCUGCAAACACGAAAGUGGACGUAUAGGGUGUGAUGCCUGCCCGGUGCUGGAAGGUUAAUUGAUGGGGUUAGCGUAAGCGAAGCUCUUGAUCGAAGCCCCAGUAAACGGCGGCCGUAACUAUAACGGUCCUAAGGUAGCGAAAUUCCUUGUCGGGUAAGUUCCGACCUGCACGAAUGGCAUAAUGAUGGCGGCGCUGUCUCCAGCAGAGGCUCAGUGAAAUCGAAAUCGCUGUGAAGAUGCAGUGUACCCGCGGCUAGACGGAAAGACCCCGUGAACCUUUACUGCAGCUUGACACUGAACUUUGACCUUACUUGUGUAGGAUAGGUGGGAGGCUUUGAAGCUGGAACGCUAGUUCCAGUGGAGCCGUCCUUGAAAUACCACCCUGGUAAUGUUGAGGUUCUAACUCUGUCCCGUGAUCCGGGACGAGGACCGUGUCUGGUGGGUAGUUUGACUGGGGCGGUCUCCUCCUAAAGAGUAACGGAGGAGUACGAAGGUGCGCUCAGCGUGGUCGGAAAUCACGCGUAGAGUAUAAAGGCAAAAGCGCGCUUAACUGCGAGACCCACAAGUCGAGCAGGUACGAAAGUAGGUCUUAGUGAUCCGGUGGUUCUGUAUGGAAGGGCCAUCGCUCAACGGAUAAAAGGUACUCUGGGGAUAACAGGCUGAUACCGCCCAAGAGUUCAUAUCGACGGCGGUGUUUGGCACCUCGAUGUCGGCUCAUCUCAUCCUGGGGCUGAAGCAGGUCCCAAGGGUAUGGCUGUUCGCCAUUUAAAGAGGUACGCGAGCUGGGUUUAGAACGUCGUGAGACAGUUCGGUCCCUAUCUACCGUGGGCGCUGGAAAUUUGAGAGGAUCUGCUCCUAGUACGAGAGGACCAGAGUGGACGAACCUCUGGUGUACCGGUUGUGACGCCAGUCGCAUCGCCGGGUAGCUAUGUUCGGAAGGGAUAACCGCUGAAAGCAUCUAAGCGGGAAGCCUACCUCAAGAUAAGAUUUCCCUAGGACUUUAUGUCCUCUAAAGAGCCGUUCGAGACUAGGACGUUGAUAGGUUGGAUGUGGAAGCAUAGUGAUAUGUGAAGCUGACCAAUACUAAUUGCUCGUGAGGCUUGACUAU
rnacentral:rRNA from 1 species